CAGCUCUGGGUCUUUGAAUUGGUGUACAAGGUGAUGAUGGUACAACAGGCUGAAGACCCAGGAGGUGGGUGACAUGGAGAGAACCUGAGGAUAUAAACAGAGAGUGCACUAUGCCAUAGCAUGAAGAAAGUAAUUGCUUGAUUGAAAAAGUACCAAGUUGAGAGAUACUAUUCAAUAAUGUACAAUGUCAUUUUCAACAAUGAAGAUUUUAUUUAUUUAUUCAUGAGAGACACAGAGAGAAAAUGAGAGAGGCAGAGAGAGAGAAGCAGGCUUCAUGCAAGGAGCCUGACAUGGGACUCAUCCUGGGAGUCCAGAAUCAUGCCCCGGACUGAAGUGGACACACUUUGUUUUGCCUUUGCCUUAUCUUCCAGUAAGACUUUCAGUAUUAAUCAAUUCCUAGCAAAGAAACAGAAGGGAAAUCUACCCAUUUCUCAAAGAAUUCACCUGAAAACUAGUAAUAAGGUGCUCCUGUGACUCUCUCAGUCAGGUGGUCCUGGCGGUGGGCAUUCAUUUCAUUCUUGGCAGUUUCCCAUGUGGAGUUGUGAUUACUCAUGCUUGAUGAAGCCAGCCCUCAUGUCAUUAUGACACUCAAGCAGCUCUUGAAGAGGAGCUGAGGCUUCCUUCCAACAGUCAGCACCAUGUUAGUGAACUGCCUUGGAAACCAAUCAUCCAGGUCCCAGUAAGCCUUCACAUAUCUACUGACAUCCUGACUACAAUCUCAUAAGAGACAGUCAGUCAAAACCACCCAGGUUUUGGUUUCAGAGCAGAUAGUCAAGACUCUGCUUCCCUUCUAAAAGUUAAUAUCUGCAAAACUGUGUUGCUAGAAGACUUGGCCUCUGAGGUUCUGUGCUGCUUCCUGCUGCCAUCCAUCUAGGCCAGCCCAUUCUUCCUUAAUCCCUGCCUCUCUGACUCUGAAGUACUGACCCCAUUUUUCUUUCAUUGUCCUCUGUCGUGUAUCUAUAGGAGUUCCAGCUAUGGAAGCCUUGGCUUUAGAAUUUUAAGGCAUUAGAACACUUGAGUUUUGAUCUCUGCUUCAUCCCUUACAUAUUGUUGUUGGUCAAUAUUGACUAUUUUCUCUAAUUCUACAAAUUUGACACUAUAAUCAUAAUUACUAUUUUAUCUAGACAUUUUCUCUUUAACAUAGUUUUUUUACUCACUUUUUUUUCUUAUGUCUGUCCUGACUGGAAGAAUGACUAACUUGGAGUCUACAAGACACAUAAAAAGUUUUGAAAUACUUUGGGGUCCUUAUGGUGGUUAUUGCCACUUUAAACAGUAGUGGAAAUUUCUCUAGUGUGUUUUAGUAAGUAAACACAGUAAAAUAGUGUAGUGGGUGUGCACAGGACAGAAAAAUUGUGUGCUCAAUAGAGCGUUUUGCUUUGUGCCAGGGGCCUCUUCCAUAGACUUAAUUGCAAUGAGGAAAUCAUAGCCAGUAGCUUGAGCUAGCAAUUUACAGAUUAUUAGACAAGAAGAUUUAUUGAACUAAACAAUAAAAAGGAAAAGCCAUUUUAUAAUGUGUGAUAGAAUGGUCUAACCAAAAAAUUGUUGUCUCCUCUGGUCUAUAUACAUAAAUCAGUGCCUUAUCAUUUCUGUGCAGUCAUGCCUAACAUUUUUUACCCUGGAAUUACAAGUAAAACCUUUGUAAUACAGGCCUUACAAUACAAAUUUUAUGUCACAUCUAAUAAGCAUUUUUAAAAUGCCAUUUUCCCCUCACUUUUAUUCUUCCUGCAUUAGAAGCUCACAGUCUAGUAACUCAUUCUUUGUAUCAUGAACAGAUCCUAAGCAGCCUUAUGCAGGUGGCUGACCCUCCGAUGAGACACAUUACUUUGCAUGGAGAAAAUAGGAAAUUCAAAAUAAAUACUUCAGCCUUAAUGUUACCAGAGUUUGUUUUCUGUUACAGAAAGUGUUAUUAUAGUGGUUAUUAUUACUAAGGACAGAUAUGAGCUAUUUGAGGCUGGUUUGGUUUUGCUCUUCUCAAUUUGACCCUUAAGGGGUAAAUGUUUUCCUAUUGCUCAUAAUUUCAUUCAUCAUUUUCUUCUCUGUCCUUUUUUUAUUUCUACUGCUGCUCCAGCCUCAUUUCAGAAAUUGCUGUUGGCAAGAAGAAAUGUGUACAACACGAAUUACCUGUAGGGGUCAGAUUGCAUCAGUAUUGUCAGUAAUAUUGUUUAGAAUCAGCUUAAAACAUUGCUUUGUAAUUCUGAAAAACAGUGGAAAUGGGAGACAGAUAAUAUCCAAGACUCCCAUAUCUUCGUUUUGUAGGCAUGGAAGAAAGUCCUAUGUUUGGGACAUUUCAAAAGGAUGUGGCUUUUGAGAGAGGAUAUAAUUUUCCUAUUUAUAAGGCAAAUGAUAAUAAAGCAAUUAAAUGUGAAAGCAAGUAAGUCAUGUGUAUACCCCAAGUUUGUGGAGUAUUUCUUAUAUAAAAAAAGGCUCUUGUAAAGUAGAGAAGAUAAAAUGUUGAGAGGCAUAUAUUCAUUUUGCAGGCAAAAUAAUUUCUCAUUUCCCCAUCACUGAAGCUAAGAAAUAAGAAAUUAUUACCACCAUAGAAGACUACUCUGUGCCCCAUAAUUAUCCUAGCUUCUGUGCCUCUCUUAGGUUCCAAGAGGUCGCUACCAUUCUGAAAUUAUGAUUUCUGUGUUUCUGAAAUUGUGAAUUUAGUCUCACUUUUCUAACUUUUUAAAAAAGUUUCUCUCUGAAAAAUAUAUCAUUUUGCCUUUUUAAAAAACAUCACAAAAAAUAAAAAUAAAAAACA
rnacentral:lncRNA from 1 species